AUUGAACGCUGGCGGCAUGCUUUACACAUGCAAGUCGAACGGUAACAGGGUGCUUGCACCGCUGACGAGUGGCGAACGGGUGAAUAAUGCGUCGGAACGCACCGAGUAAUGGGGGAUAACGCAGCGAAAGCUGUGCUAAUACCGCAUACGCUCUGAGGAGGAAAGCGGGGGACCUUCGGGCCUCGCGUUAUUCGAGCGGCCGACGUCUGAUUAGCUAGUAGGUGAGGUAAGAGCUCACCUAGGCGACGAUCAGUAGCGGGUCUGAGAGGAUGAUCCGCCACACUGGGACUGAGACACGGCCCAGACUCCUACGGGAGGCAGCAGUGGGGAAUUUUGGACAAUGGGCGCAAGCCUGAUCCAGCCAUGCCGCGUGUCUGAAGAAGGCCUUCGGGUUGUAAAGGACUUUUGUCAGGGAGGAAAUCCUAGCGCUAAUACCGUUGAGGGAUGACAGUACCUGAAGAAUAAGCACCGGCUAACUACGUGCCAGCCGCCGCCGUAA
rnacentral:rRNA from 1 species